UGUUGCGUCACGUCGUGAAAGCGGAAACGUCGCGAGUUUGAAUGACGAGAAGAAAGAAAAAGAAAGUCUAAUCGACGAGCGUGAAUAGAAGGAAGGUGAAUAAAAAAAACGAGAAAAAAAAAAACAAAACAUACGUAAAUAAUUUAAAACGCAUGUAACGCGUGUAACCGCUAAAUAAGUAACUAAAGAUUUUACGAUAUGAGGAUUAUUAUACGUUCGUUGUUCUGUUGUAAAGAAAAAGAAAGCUUAUUAUAAAUACGGAGGCGAACGAAGAGAUUUAAAAAUAAAGAUAAUUAAAAAUAAUAAGUAAAUUUGAAUGAACGCGAAAGAAGAUGAACAAAAUAUACGAAUUUCAUUUCUUGUUUUGUGGUGGUCUUCGGAAUCUUCGGUUUCGAUAAAUCGCUAAGGAUAUAAACUGAGAUAAGAAACACGUGCAAUAUACGAAGGCCUUUAAUAAGCUGCGGAAGAGCCGACGGCUAAUGCGGAAAGAGGAGAAACGAAAGAGGGCAGAUAAUCACUGACAUUGGCGACGACGACUAGAUUAACGCACUGACCUGGAUAAGCCAAAUAGAGAAAAACGGGAGUAGAUUUAGGCGCGAGGGAAAGGGUGAGCCGCGGGGCGAACUAGCCCUCUGGCGUGCUCCGCAAGGAUGCAGCUCUCAGGCGGGAGCAGGAGAAGCCAAAAGAUAAGAGCGACACCUCCCGCCCGGUUCACGACGUCGUCAACAAUAAAAACAACAGCGAUCAUCCCGAUCGGGUCGAAUCAUCAAGAGUCGACGACAUUAACGAUACGACACAAAGUUCCAAAACACCACCAGCUGCAAGCGUCGACCCCCCGCCGCAAGGAGGAGUGGGGAAAGAAAUAGGGGGACGACGCAGGGAGCCGGGUACCCAGGGGUCGGCGUCGCGAGCAGGUGCGAGGAAGAGACGAGGAACAGACCUCGAUUCGGCGGCAGCAGCAGCGGCAGCAGCAGCAGCAGCGGCAGGAGAAGGAGGAGGAGAGAGGAGGAGGAGGGAAGCGAAGUCGUCGUCGGAGGGGGG